AUUGAACGCUGGCGGCAGGCCUAACACAUGCAAGUCGAGCGAGUGGCGGACGGGUGAGUAAUGUCUGGGAAACUGCCUGAUGGAGGGGGAUAACUACUGGAAACGGUAGCUAAUACCGCAUACCAUCAGAUGUGCCCAGAUGGGAGUAGCUAGUAGGUGGGGUAAAGGCUCACCUAGGCGACGAUCCCUAGCUGGUCUGAGAGGAUGACCAGCCACACUGGAAAUGAGACACGGUCCAGACUCCUACGGGAGGCAGCAGUGGGGAAUAUUGCACAAUGGGCGCAAGCCUGAUGCAGCCAGGCCGGGUGUGUGAAGAAGGCCUUAGGGUUGUAAAGCACUUUCAGCGGGGAGGCGUUACCCGCAGAAGAAGCACCGGCGAACUCCGUGCCAGCCGCCGCGGUAAUAC
rnacentral:rRNA from 1 species